rnacentral:rRNA from 1 species
AUUAAUUCGAUGCAACGCGAAAAACCUUACCUACCCUUGACAUGUCUAGAAGCCCGAAGAGAUUUGGGUGUGCCCGAAAGGGAGCUGGAACACAGGUGCUGCAUGGCUGUCGUCAGCUCGUGUCGUGAGAUGUUGGGUUAAGUCCCGCAACGAGCGCAACCCUUGUCGUUAAUUGCCAUCAUUUAGUUGGGCACUUUAACGAGACUGCCGGUGACAAACCGGAGGAAGGUGGGGAUGACGUCAAGUCCUCAUGGCCCUUAUGGGUAGGGCUUCACACGUCAUACAAUGGUCGGUACAGAGGGUUGCCAAGCCGCGAGGUGGAGCCAAUCCCAGAAAGCCGAUCGUAGUCCGGAUCGUAGGCUGCAACUCGCCUGCGUGAAGUCGGAAUCGCUAGUAAUCGCGGAUCAGCAUGUCGCGGUGAAUACGUUCCCGGGUCUUGUACACACCGCCCGUCACACCAUGGGAGCGGGUUCCGCCAGAAGUAGGUAGCCUAACCGCAAGGGGGGCGCUUACCACGGCGGGGUUCGUGACUGGGGUGAAGUCGUAACAAGGUAGCCGUA